CAAAUGCCUUGGGCUUUGCAAAAACAAUAACAAUAACUAAUGGAGCUGCGGAAGCCGGUAAACGGUAUAGCCCAGGCAUAUUCGUCAUUCGCCGGUUAUGUAGUACACACGAACGAGUGAACUUCCUCUGCUAUCAGAAGCAGUCAGAAGUGUGCGUCAGCCAUAUUGCUCUUCUAACAGCAUCAAACUUCCUAUCUUUGCGUCUAUGGCAUAUCAAAACAAAUAUCUAGCAGCAACAACAACAAACAUUUGGAGAUAGCUGCGAAUUUGACGGUCAACAUGUGCGGUCAGACGAAACUGCAUGUUAACUGAUGCUAAGGAUGAUUAAAUAACCGCUGCAACCAAAACUACAACGCUGAGCACUAGCAACUGACACUGGCAAAGUGCACAAUUGUUUCCAAAUUUCUUGAAGUUAUGGCAUUCAACUGAUCAAAUGUAAAUAUCGGCAGCCAAACUCGUUCGCUACACGAGAAUGAUUUUCACUGAUAAAUCCUGAGGCACAUCUAUGUCCUCUACUGGCAUACACACAUAAUUAUUGAAGAGGUACCACAAGAACGAACACAAACGUGGCGUUCAUUCAUCUAAUUGCAGUGAACCCGUCUAUUACUCCAGCAAUAAUUAGCAUAUGGAGGCAGAAGGAGUGCUUUUUUAAUUCAACUUCUUCGCAGAUGCAAUUUGCAUUUAUGUACUUUUAUGGGCAACACAUUUUUUUGGCUUUCACGGCCAACAUAUUGGAGAAAACCGACGAGGAAUCUCCCAAACCGUCGGCAACUAUUUUGCAGUUAUUACGUUUUCAAUUAUUACUUGAAGAAUGAGGAACCAUCGAUCCAUGACAUACGUCAGGCAUGCAUGCGUAAAUACAUAUGUAUAUACUUAAAUGUGUGGUCCUUAUUAAUAUUCAUAACAUGAGUUCGAU
rnacentral:misc_RNA from 1 species